rnacentral:lncRNA from 1 species
CUGCAAAGUUCUUUUGUAUGACAGAAAGUGGCUCAAAUAUUGGUUCCUCAUGCUUGGACAGAAAAUGCAAAAACAAACUGAAUGCCACACUUUGAUUUUCAAGGCGGGUUUUUGUUCUUCUUCUGGCACAGGGUGUUGUAAAGUGGCCAAAGGCUUUUGUUUGAUGAUAGCAAAAUGUAAGUGGUAAGGUGGUUGUACAUGGCAGGGU